GUGCCCCGUGCUGCUGGCACCGCGUUGGCUGCCCACCCCGGCCGUGGAGCUUUCCCAGUCAGUCCUGUCACUGGCCCAGCUCGGCCACGAGUGGUGUCUGCAGCCACAGACUGUCCCGUUCCUCAGAGAGCAGACGGCCGUCCUUUCCUCGUGACAGCACAACCUCCCCGCUUGCCAGGAGAACAAUUUUGUGAGCACCGCAAGAAGUCUGAGCAGAACUUUGCGAUACAGUCGUCGACAAAACUGGGAACCAAGCUUCGGUUUUCUUUUAAUUUUAGAAGGGAUUUUGGCUUCCUAAACUUGGAAACAUUGUGGGACUCUGCUGGUUUCUCAAGUGCUUUGCAUUGCGUGACAGCUGUAGCAGAUUUUCUUUUUGCUUCUCUUUCAGGUAAACAGAGAAGAAAGCUAAUUGUCCGGCCAUUGGUGGUGCCCAGCUGCUUUGCCCGCACACCUGCUGCCACUUUGCGGGGCUUUGGGCCCCACUUUGGGUCAGUUUGCAGCGAGGUGGCUCCACGAGCAGGGUGCCCUGGAGCUUUCCUCUCCCUGUGCACAGAGGCCGGAGGCACAGACGGAGGUCAGUUGUGUUUGCGUUGCGGGAUCUGGUGGACCAGCAGGCCCUGCCAGCUGAUGGGCAGCGAUCCCCCUGGCUUGUUUGGCUUUGGUGUUUUCCCCUCACCCUCCACUGGGAUGCUUUUUGUGUCACCGCACCUGUGUCUCAUGUUGAAAACCUCGGAGCAGAGCUGGGGGCUCGUGGCUGCUGGUUGCUCUGUGGGGCUGCGCUGGGCUUUCCCAGCCAGAAAGGGAUGGGAAGAGGGCCUGGGGGAGGUGAAAUCUGAAUUAAAAGUGUUUAGCAAUUUCCUGAACAACACCUUGCAUGCAGCUCAGGCAGAAUGUUACGCGUUUAAAGAGAAAAAAAAGAUUUUUUUUAAUCAUUUGGAUAAAUUUUUUUUAGAGGGGUUUAUUAUCCUCAGUAAGCCUGGGCUAAAACCCUUGUGUAACCUAUUAAUCUGGGAUUGCCAUCUGCACCUACAUGUGUGCUAG
rnacentral:lncRNA from 1 species